GGGGGGUGAGGGGGGGGUGAGGGACUCCUCCGGCGUCCACAAACACACAGAGGAGAAAUGUCGGUGGCAGACGGAUAAAGCGGCGCUUUGGUUCUUCUGUAGACACACAGACACACACACCGCCGCAUCAAUCGAGCUGUUCUCCGGGAGGAGGAGGAGGAGGAGGAGGAGCGAGUCCCGUUCACAGGAGCAGGUUCUGCCAGAGAAAAGCUGCCGAGGUGGAGCGAGCUCAUCGCCCCGUAAUGGGAAAGCAAUGGAGGAGCGCACACCGCACAUUGUGUGAAACUCCACCAAAUGAUUUCUGUGUCUCCAGCUGCACAGCAGCCGUGACACAGAGUCUGAUGGAGGCUGCUUGUGUGUUUUUGUGCGUACCUGUGUGUGUGUGUGUGUGGGGGGGGGGGAAAGGUGUGAGCUAAACUCACACCUUUCUCCUGCAAUAAACCUCCAUCCGUCUGAGAGCCUGCAAACAUCUUCACACAGAAUGCAUCUCUCAUCCUCCAAAAUAUGUGUCUGGGUGAGUUAACGACCAAAUAGCGACUAUAAUUACGCUGUCUGGAGGAAAGAGGGGGGGUUUCGUGAGCUUGAUGAGUAGUCUGAGUGGGAUUUCAUUAGUGUAUUUAUUAAGUGAUCUGCCGUGAAAGGAUUUGAUUAAAUGUGUGCAUUUUCUAGCAGAGCCCUGGUGGAGAUGUUCCCACUAGAAAGACGCCAUUUGCAUCUACAGAUUUCCACUCAGAACCCGUUGCAAACAGCUGGAGGCUUCAGUGCUUUUCCCAAAGGCAGUCGGGCUGGAAGGGGGCAAAGAGAAAGACCAAGGACGUGGAUUCCGAAGCACAAAUCCAGACCCGAAUCCAGACCGCCAGCCUGCAGAGUCUCCACUGACCGGCUCCGUGCAACAUGGUGAUCAUUACCACAAGUUAUGCUUCUAGUUUAGACACAACAAGGAGCCUGUUGAUGUAGACAUCUUUGUUGUUUGUGUCAAUCUACUGGAUCCGUCUGUACAUCCAUCUAUCUGAAGGACACGCUGCCGCCGUGUGAUUGGUGGCCUUCUCUUGGUUAAAACCUUGGACCAGCCCUCCCCCCUCCAGCAUCAGGCCUGAACACAGAAGUGAAUGGAGGGCGGUGCAGGGGGCGGGAGGGGGGGUGGGGGCACUGGAAGGAGAGGAAAGGUUAAUUGGUUUUGUUGACCAUCUGUCUGCAGAGGAGGCGGGUGAGAGACGGCCCUCCCCACGCUGGAUAGGGAGGACUCAAGGAUUUAAGUCGGCCUGAUUUGGCAGUGACCCGUCCUAUUAAUAGAGCAGCUUCAUCUCACUCCAUCCGGCCUCCGCUUCUCUGCCUCCGUCCUUCCUUUCUUCUUCUGUGUUUUGUGCUGGCUGCACUUUUCUGUUUCCUCUUUGUGGACCUCACACAGGUCAGGUGGCUGAAGAAAUCUCUCUGUGAGGGAUGCAUUCAGUCAGUCUGAAGGCAUACCGUGGGGUAUGAUUCCCCGGGGAGGUAGGUGGAGGGUCUGGGGGGCGUCCGGCACUGCUGAGCCUGCGAGUGUCUUUCUCUGCAAUAAGAGCAUCCACCUCGCCCAUCACUCUCUGUCACCGCCUGGGACGCUCUUGUGUUUGACUUCUUGCGUCAGACGAGUUGCAUGGAACCUCCACCGUGACCUCCAGUGUGACCUCCACCAGGACCUCCACCAGAACAUCCACCGUGACCUCCACUGUGACCUCCACCGGGACCUCCACCAGGACCUCCACCGUGACCUCCACCGGAACCUCCACCAGGACCUCCACCGUGACCUCCAC
ensembl:lncRNA